ensembl:misc_RNA Metazoa_SRP Metazoan signal recognition particle RNA
GCUGGACGUGGUGGCGCAUGCCUGUAGUUCCAGCUACUUGGGAAGCUGAGACAGAAGAAUCGCUUGAAUCUAGGAGGCGGAGGUUGCAGUGAGCCGGGAUUGGGCCACUGCACUCCAGCCUGGGUGACAGAGCGAGAUUCUGUCUCUC